rnacentral:rRNA from 1 species
ACAGAGGGUGCGAGCGUUGUCCGGAAUCACCGGGCGUAAAGGGCGCGUAGGUGGCGCUCCAAGUCGAUGGUGAAAGCUCGUCGCUCAACGACGAGUCGGCCACCGAUACUGGAGGGCUCGAGCACUGUAGGGGCAGAUGGAAUUCCGGGUGUAGCGGUGGAAUGCGUAGAGAUCCGGAAGAACACCGGUGGCGAAAGCGCUCUGCUAGGCCGCAACUGGCACUGAGGGACGAAAGCUAGGGGAGCGAAUGGGA